ensembl:snRNA U6 U6 spliceosomal RNA
GUGUUCUCUUUGGCAGCACGUACACGAAUUAAGAAUGAUACCAAGAGGAUUAGCAUGGCCCCUGUGCAAGGAUGACAUGUAAAUUUGUAAAGUACUUCAUAUUUAA